CUGUAGUGGUUAUAGGGCCAUGGGGGCUAUGGGGCUGGGAUGCUGCAGUGUCCCCAAAGCACCCCCCGGUGUGACACACGGAGCCCCACAGCCGCUCCUCCGCCCUUUAUUCACAUGGGGGGGGCAUCCCCCAACGCCCCGUUAUCACGAAAUAAACCUUAAUCCCAAAAAUAAAGGGUGCCCCCCACCCCCACCCCAUGGGAACAGUGCUGUCUGCAAUGGGGGGCGCACAGAAUGGGUCCCCAGAGGGGGGUCCCCAACUUUGGGAUGUGACGCCACGGUGGGGAUGUGGGGGCAGUCCCACCUCUGGGACGGACCACAAGUUUGGGCUGUGACACUGUGGGGGCGUCCCCAACUUUGGGGUCUGACACCAUCGGGGGGACACAGAGCUGUCCCAAAUUUGAGAUGUGACACUGUCGGGGCGUCCCCAGCUUUGGGGUGUGACACUGUGGGGGCAUCCCCACCUUUGGGGUGUGACACGGUGACGCGGUGCCCCCACUUCCCCUGGGAAGUCCUCAAGCUGCUCACGGUGUCCCCAACUUCGAC
ensembl:lncRNA